UAAUAAUAAUAAUAAUAAUAAUGAUAAUAAUAACAACAACAUAAAUACUGUUUUUUAAUUUUUAAAAUGACUUUUUUGUUUUUUAAAGGACUACUAUUAUUUAUUUCACAGCUGUAUUAAUUUCACCGGAUUCUUUUUUUUUUUUUUUAUGAAUUUAUUUGUUAAUUUAAUAUUGAAUGAAAUGAUGUUAGAUUCUAUGUUCAUUUUCUAAAUCAGGAUUUACAUUCAGAAUUCAACAGUAAAUCCAUUUAGAUCUGUAAUCCAGUGUUAGUUUUAUCUUUAGUCAGUCAGAGAUGCAAAAGCAGCCAAAUUUAAUUCAGAAUUUGAAGAUUACUUUCUUCAGUUUUACACAAAUCUCCAAAAAUCAAAUCCAAGAAGUGAGGGAUGAGAGUGGAUUCUAGAAGACGUGAAGUUAACAGGAUAAAUCUUUGAUCAUUUUAUUUAGCAGAAUGAAUAAUAUAUCAUAUAAUGAAUAAAACAAGCAGCUCUGCAGUGAACACGUCAUGUUCAUAUGUUCACAAAUGAAUCCUCGUCCAAAGAUAGUAAACCUCUAAUUCUGGAUAAAGAGCAGCAGAAAUGAGCUCAGAAACCCGAAGAAGCUUUUAUUUAGAGGUUAAAGGACCAGAAUGUCUGAAACAACUAACCUGGAAAUAUAUUUAACCGUCAUGUCGUCCUGCGGGUCAAAAUUAACCCGUUUUAAAGUUUGAAAAUAUGGGAAAUAAAUAUAUUUUCACAGUGAAACUUCUGAUGUCCACAUUUUCAACAUUUCUGGGAAAUCUUUGAACAUUUUUUGGUGGAAAAAAAGAAAUGUUAAAAAUGUUUCUGAAGAACAUUCACAUAAAAAUCAACCAAAGUCCGGCGAAUUUUGCUGGAUUUUAGUUGAUUUUUAUGUGAAUGUUCUGAAAGAAAAUAUUAGAAGUUUUAAUGAUAUAUAUGGAAUCACUUUAGAUAUUUUUAGGAUUUUUUUGGGAACAUUUUUACGAUUUUUUUGAAAAUAUUUACAAGAAUUUUCUUGCCAAAUUUGGGGGAUUUUUUAAAAAUUAAACUUUUAAGGGAAACUUUUAAGGAAUUAUUGGAAUUUUCUUCCUGAAGGUUUUGCAAAUUUUCAGAAAUUUGGUGAAUUUUUUUUCUGAAUUUUUGGAUUUUUUUCAGACAAGGAAACAAUAUUUUUGGUAACUGUAAAUGAGGACAGCAGGAGGGUUAAAGAAACACAAAUCCAACAGAAUCAUCUUUGAAAACAACAUGAAAAGAAACAUGGACUUCCUAAACCUCCUGGACUCAUCACUGUAGCAAUAUUUGUUUUUCAGGAAUGUUUUUCUGUCCUCGAAACUUCCAAACUCUUCUUCUGCUCUCGCCGUGGUUUCCUUCUCCUCGUCCAUCUGAACCUUCGGCUGACCUUUCUCAACUAAAAGUUUAUUAUUUCAGACGCUGGGUUUGGAUUAGAAACUUCAUUUGGCACAAUUCCUUCCUCAGACGCUGAAAAAAAUCCACUGAACGCUAAAAAGGCUUCAAGACAUCUAAGAACUGAUGUGGAAAAACCAACCUUCAGGAGUUUGUCAGGUUUAGUUACAACCAUGAGAACAGAUGAUCGAGCACCGGAUUUCAGAAAAAAUCUAAAUUCAUGUAAACUGUUCAGCUUUUGGAGCUCUCUCCAUAUAAAAAUAACCCUCAAAAUCUGAGGACAGUCUUUAAAAAUACUUCAACCAAUUUGCUGUUCGGCACCAAAAACUCUGAUUGUUUCCCUCCUUUACUGCAGCACUAAAGGAAUUAGAUCUUUAGUAUCUCUGUUGAUGGACUGUUGCCUCAUUCAAACACUUAGAGAACAAAUGCAAUCUGACUAACAGUAGUUUAAAUGUCAGUUACCCCAGAUUACUGCAUCGUGAUGCCAAAUUUUCAUUUUUAACAUAUUUUUAGUUUAUAUCUGACUCAAAAUUACAUAAACAGGUGGUAAAAGACAGUAAAACAUUGUGUUAGAGAUGGUAAUGAUACAUUUCACCAAUUUCUAUGUUUUGCUUUUUAGAUUUUUACUAAAACGAUAUGUCCAAAAUUAUUCUAUAAAAUUGUCUCAGAUUUCAGAAAAUGCCAUUUCUUUCUCAUUUUAAAUAUUCUAAAGCUCCUGUUAAGGUUAACUAUUGAGAGAAUCUGUGCAGUUGUGACUCUGAUGCUAGAAAAAUGUCUAAAUUAUGUGACAUUUUCCUAAAUAUAUAGAGAACACAUCAAACAAAAGAAAGUAAUUCAUCAACGUACAACAUGUCAUCAGCAUAUGUGGAGACUCUGCAGUGUCAGUGAGUGACGGGCCUCCACCUGGACACCAGGUGUGUCAGUUCCUGAUCGUCCCCUGAUUGAUCCACCUGUGAUCUGGUGUCUCAACUGCAUUUCAUCUCCUCUGCUUCUAUUCUUCUCUCAGACUGAGCUGCUGUCUACAGGGAGCUCCAGCAGCAUGGUAGGUUCUGGUUUUACUGCACAUGUGUGGAAAUAAACUCCCUUUUAGUCUCCAUACCGGGCCGUGUCCCGGUUUAGUUACAGCUUCGGAGCCAAGCUGUAACAAAGAGGAAUGAUGAUCUCCUCUGUGAAAUCCUCACAUUUGUUUGGAUAAAAUCCAGCUUCUACAUCAUUCCAGAUGUUGCUGGUGAAUCCUACCAUGUUCUAGAGGGUUCCAGUGCACUAUAAAGGUAGAACAACUGGUGCAGUAGUUCUCUAGUCACUUACUGGUCAGUUCCAAGUCAUGGCUGAAACCAAAGAGCUCAGUUGUGACUUUGAUGCUGAAAAAUGUAUAAAUUCUGUGAAUAUCUCCAAAAUUUGUUGAGCAAAUCAUACAAAAGAAAGUCAUUUGUCAAUGUAAAAAAACAUGUCAUCAGCGUAUGUGGAAAGCUUAAGGUCAAAAAGAGAAUGAAGGGAAAAUGAGGAUUUAUAUUUCUUGAAAUUGUCACAUUUGUUUUGAGAAAAUGCCACUUCUACAUCAUUUCAGAUGUUCCUGGUAGUUUCUACCACUUUCUAGAGGGUUCUAAUACACUAUGAUGCAGUAGUUCUCUUGUCACUUACUAGUCAGUUCCAAGUCAUCGCUGAAACCAAAGAGCUCAGUUGUGACUUUGAUUCUAGAAAAAUGUAUAAAUUAUGUGACUGUUUCCUAAAUAUAAAGAGAACACACAGAUUAAAAUAAAGUAAUUCAUAAAUGUACAACAGCAUGUCAUCAGCGUAUGUGGAAACUCUGCAGUGUCAGUGAGACAAAGAAGAGGAAUAAUGAUCUAUACUCAGUAAAAUCCUCACAUUUGUUUGGAUAAAAUUCAUCAAUACAAUGUUUUACUGUGUUUUGUCAUUUUUUUAAUGUCAUUUCCUGUCAGUCAAAUAAAACUUUAUUGUAAUUUUUGUCCGUACGGGGAAUAAUUUGCGGUAAAACUGGAGUUAAAGCAGCGGUUCCAGAACAGGUUCAGUUUAACCUCUGGAUGUUUAUUUAAGUAUCUUCUAGAUCUCUGAAGAGGUUUGAAUAUGUCAUUAUUUCAUAAACAGAGAAAACACACUUUUAUUUGUGUAACUGAAGUGUUUAUUUUUAUGGGGUUUCAUCACUCCCACUGUAAACCACUGGCACGUCAUAAACAAGCAUAAAAAUAAUUCAAAUUAAUCUGAAAUGAUGUUUUCCUGUGCUUUCAGUCACUUCCAGUCUGAAUAAACAGAUAAAAUCCAACUUAAAUCAAUAUUUUAACUGAUGAGGUCCAAGUUUUAAUUGAUUUUGAUAUUGUUGUGCCUUAAUUUCAUUGAUUUCAGUUUUGGUUUUUGAACAGUAAUUUGCAUGAAAACACGAGUCCUUUCCACUGAAAUGAGCCAAACUCUCAUCACUUCUGCUCUGUUACCAUCUGAUUACUGCACAAAUAAUUCAAAUCCAUCCUGAACGUCUCAAACAGCAGGUCUGAAGAAGGUUUAGCUCUAGUUUUUGUCAUUUAAAUCCAGAAUAAACCUAUUGGUGAAAUAAAAAUUCACUCUAAAUCCAGAUGAAUAACUGGAGGCCUCGCUGAAAAUCCACCUGUAAAAUAUUCAUCAUGUGCAGUUUUUCUGAUCUUCUCAGGUUUCUAAACUCCUCCCAGAUCUUCUCUGCAUCUCCUGCAGACUUUUUACCUCCAGAGGAACCUUUUCAUUCAUUUUAAAAUCAGCUCAGAGUUGCAGCUGCUGUCAGAAACCUGGAGGAUGAUCUGCUGCUUCUACUUCUGCUCCGUGCUGCUGCGGGAGUCCUUCCUCCUUCUCCGUGCGUGAGGCUGGAGGUGCGUGAGGCUGGAGGUGCAUGUUUCUCCUCCUCUCCUCCUCGGGGCUUUGCGUGCCUCUCCUGCCGGGUGCGCGGUUCACAGCUGUCCCCUGGUUGGGGUCAUACAUGCGGGGGCUCGUCCGUGCGUCCGUGCGUGCGUGCGUGCGUGCCCUGAGUGAAUGUGUGGCGGAGUGCACGAGUGUGAGCAGCAGAUGGUGACCUUUCGGAGUGAAUUACCAUGAACCCUGUGACUCUCCGCUUUCACUCUCCUCCCGGGUCCGCGCACACGCACGCGGCUGGCAGCUCAGCAGCGGAGAAUGCGCAGUUUGGUGAUUUGGGGCUGUAAAGUAGGCCAGCCGCGUCCCGGAGCGGCUCCGUCACCGUGCGUGGACGUCAGCGUGACGUCGGGACCGUGAACAGCUGGAGUAGUCGUGACCGCGUGCUCGUCGGCGACGGCGGCGCGCUUCACUCCAGGAAGCUUCGUUUCAGCACCAAGGCCAGGGCUCGCGGCGAGAACAAUAGGCGGCUCCGCGCACGCGCUCUGCGCCCAGGGAGCGUGCGCAAGCAGUUGACCCACAAAAAAGCGGAGAAGUCUGAUUUAAAGUCCCGCAUCUCCAUGGAAACGAACAACAUGCCAGAAUAAAUUACACAGAAUGAAAUAGAAAAUACACAGAAAGACCCAAAUAGAGAAGAAAAUCAGCAAAAAUAUAAAUAAAACAAAAAAAUAUAAAAUAUAAAAAUAAUGAUAAUAUAUAAACCCAAAUAUAUAAGAAAAUGAGUAAAAAAGAGAAAAAUAUAUAUAAACAAAUUUAGAAAAAUAGAAUUUUAAAAUAGAAUUUAAAAAAUAAAACUGAUGUAUUUCUGCAACAGUGGGUUUUACAGGGUCAAAAAUUAUUUAUUUCACUAAAAUUGAAAGGAUCAACAUUUUUCAUGGUAGUUUCACAAACAAUGCAUAUUUAAUAAUUUUUAUUUUGAUUUCGCACUAAUCCCUUCCUGUCCUGUUUGUCAGCUGGCUCUCUAACAUCUUCAUGUUGUACAACUUUUCAUUUUUAACAGAAUUUUGUUUGAGAAAACAUUAUUUUUGGUGUCAAGUGAUGUUUAAUGAAAUAUCGCCAUUUUUAGCUGAGAAAUUUGAUUCACUGGUCAAAAAAAUAAUCCUGAAUUUUAGUCACCUGAGUGCUGCUCACAGCUGACUCACUGAAAGCUUUCUGAUUGGAUGAAGAUCCGCAGAAGUUUUGCUUUUUUUUACAGAAUCUGGUUCAAGCAAAAAAUAGUCUUUUAGUGAUUUUUUUUUUUUUUUUUUAAAUUUUAAACAUCUAGAGAUUCAGCACAGAGAUCUGGUGCAGUACUGCCAAGCAUGGAGGUGGCAGCAUCAUUACACUAUCAAUGUAAUGAUGCUGCCACUCAGACUUGGUUCUUCAUCAGUCCACAGGUUCUUGAUGAGUUUGAGUCAGGACUUUGGGGAGACCAGUCUAGAACCUUCAUUCUAUCCUGAUGGAACCAUUUCUUUACCACGUCUGAUGUGUGUUUGGGCUCAUGGUCUCGCUGAAACAUCCAACUGUGUCCAAGAUCAACCUUCUGCUGAUGGUUUUAGGUUUUCCUGAAGAAUGUGGAGGUGAUCCUCCUCCUUCUUCAUUAUUCCAUUUACUUUGUGGAAAGCUCCAGUUCCACAGAGCAUGAUACUGCCACCACCAUGCUUGGUGGAAGGUUUGGUGUUCUUGAGGUUAAAAAAAGACCUGCCUAAGAGAGUCUGAAACCAGUCCUAAAGCAGUCCUGAAAAGGUCUAAAACCAGGACCAAAAUCUGGACUAAACCAAACGUAAACUACUCUUUAAAAAUCCAAGACAGUCUGACACCAGUCCUAUACCAGUCCUAAAAAGGUCUAAAACCAGGACCAGAACCAAAUUUAAACUGUCAGGCUGGCAGCUGUCAGGCCUAGAUGGUGCUCUCUCUCUCUUUUCUCCGCCUCUUUUUCCUUUUUAGGUUUGUCAGCAGUGCAGUUGCAGCGCAGGUGUCUCUCAUUGACAAUCAUCAUCAGCUGGUGCAGGAGCAGGUGGAGAAGUUGCCAAUCAAGCUCCACUCUGGCCACAAUAUAACCAGAGGCCACUAACCUCUCAGCGCUGGAUGGUGACACAUCCCGGUUUCACCUGCUCCUGCCUCAAUUCUUCCUUGUUUCCUCGUCACCUCCAGUAUCCUGUUCCGUUCAAGCGUUCUGGAAAUACCCACCUGUGCCGUUCUCCUCCAACCUGGCGUUCUUCCACAUUCACCUGUUGCUGCAAUUCGCCAUUCAUCAUCCUGACUCAAGAAUCACUCGUCUAGAUCCACCAGCCGCUUACAGUCAUGAGCCCAGUCUGAGCAUCUUAGUUUGUAUCUGUGAGUCUGUCCUAGAAAACUGAAUUUAGCUUUGUUUAUUUGAAUAGCAGCUCUUGAAUUUUUGUAUCGGGUCCAGUAAUAAUCUAGAGUCUCAAAUUUACUAAGUAUUGAUUUCUGAUUUAAUACCUAGUAUCUGGAGUUUUCUUGAACUGAGGAUUUUGAAAUUGGUUUUGUUCCUGGAGUUAGUUUUAGGUUAGUAAUAAUCUUCCAAUUAAUCUUGGUUAUUAUUGACUAUCAUUCAGGCCUCCUAGUUGAUGCCUCGCUUUAAGUUGAACCUUUUUGUAUUCUCAAUCCUCAUAUUCGUAAAGCUUUCUUGCCUGGGUUAUACCCAACGUGAGUCAGUAUAUUUGAGCUUUAGUAUUUAGUUGUCCCUGCCUCAAGUAGUCGCCAGGAGAUUUUCAGAGGGCUUACGUUUUUUCCCGGUUUGUAGUAUUUCUAGUAGAAUACCUAAGUUUCUGUCUUGAAACCGUUUUUUGAGAUUCUGUAAAUAAAAUUCCUUUUUUGCAUUUAAA